rnacentral:antisense_RNA from 1 species
CUUCACCGACCCGAGCAACAACGGUCGCUCCCGGUCCUGGCCGUACGUGGCCAGCAGCGCCUGCGCCUC